rnacentral:rRNA from 1 species
CUGGCGGCGUGCCUAAACAUGCAAGUCGACGACCGAUUAAGAGCUUGCUCUUAAGAAGUAACGGCGGACGGGUGAGUAACACGUAGGUAACCUGCCUAUAAGACUGGGAUAACUCCGGGAAACCGGGGCUUAAUACCGGAUAACAUUUUGCACCGCAUGGUGCGAAAUUGAAAGGCGGCUUCGGCUGUCACUUAUAGAUGGACCUGCGGCGCAUUAGCUAGUUGGUGAGGUAACGGCUCACCAAGGCGACGAUGCGUAGCCGACCUGAGAGGGUGAUCGGCCACACUGGGACUGAGACACGGCCCAGACUCCUACGGGAGGCAGCAGUAGGGAAUCUUCCGCAAUGGACGAAAGUCUGACGGAGCAACGCCGCGUGAGCGAUGAAGGCCUUCGGGUCGUAAAGCUCUGUUGUUAGGGAAGAACAAGUGCUAGUUGAAUAAGCUGGCACCUUGACGGGCCUAACCAGAAAGCCACGGCUAA